CGCUACUUAACAAGAAGAAGACAUUACCCACUCGACAACAAGCACUUGAAAAAUAAUUGCCGUGUCAAAAUUCACAGGCUGAAUGUUGUUGUAACGUCGGUGUGUGUUGUGAGCUCAAAACAUGAACAACGUGGCUUCAUUUGUUGUGUUGAUUUGGAGUCACGUCACCUCUGCCGCCCUCCAUUCUCUGUGGCAUGUGUACACAGUGACCAGCAACAUCCCGCAUCUUCCAUCCAUGAUGGCGGUGGUGAUGGUGGACGGUGUCAUCACGGAACAUUACGACAGCCGCACCAAGGUGACUGUGGCCAAACAGGCCUGGAUAGACGCCGUCACUCACAAAGAACCUGACUACUGGGAAAAGCAGACAAACUUCUGGCAAGGACAGGAACACUUUGGAAACAUUAACAUGGCAAUACUUAAGGAUAGAUUCAACCAAUCACACGGCAUCCACGUGUUCCAGGUGCUGCACGGCUGCGAGUAUGAUGACGACAGCGUCUCAAAGUCAGGUUUCAACCAUCACAGUUAUGAUGGCGACGACACGCUGUAUCUAGACAUGGAGAACCGGCGGUGGAUCUGGCUCCAGUCUCAGCUGGAGGCCACUGUCCGCAAGUGGAACCUCAAUGAAGGCUGGCUGGAGUUCAUGGACCAUCGCUUGCUUGAGGAAUGUCCUCAGCGCCUUUCCAAGAUGCUGGAAUAUGGGAAGAGCGUCCUGCAGAGAAUACAGAGGCCCCUGGUGGCUCUGCUGCAGACGCAGCCAUCGGCGCCGGUUACAUGUCACGCCACGGGAUUCUACCCCAACAUAGUGGACAUGUUCUGGAUGCGCGAUGGUGAACAGCUUCACGACCAUGUGACGCACGACCAACUGCUCCCCAACCACGACGGAACUUUCCAGCUCAGCGUCCGCCUGAAUGUGAGUGCUGUGCCACCUGAAGACUGGCACCGCUAUGCAUGCAUCUUCAGGCUCGAAGGACUUCCCGAUAAGAUCAUCACCACACUGGACGCCGCCAAGAUCGAAACAAACUACGUGAAGCCUGUGGAUCACACUAUCAUCAUUGUGGCCACAGUCAUGUUCGUCGCCACCAUGGUGCUAUCGGUGGGCGUCGGCAUUUUUGUUUACAGAAGACGACAGGCCCAAUUGUUGUAACGGAAUGUCACCGCGGCAACAAGCGAACGGUUGCAGUGCAGUCAUGCGUCAGGACGGUGAAGAGCAGCGGACUGAGCACGCAGCCUUGGGGGGCCCCUGUGCUGAGGGUGAUGCUGGCGGGGAUUUUGUCGCCAACAUGCCAGCACUGAGGCCCAGCUUGUCAAGUUUGCUGAUGAGGCGUUGUGGCACAAUGGUGUUGAAGGCAGAACUGAAGUCCACAAACAGCAAUCUCACAUACGAGUCCCUUCUCUCCAGGGAUAUGUGGGGACCAAAAUUGCCAAAAUGUGGAGUAUGAAGAUAAUCUACACACAUGGCCAAAUAUUGCUUGGACUUUAGGGCAAAGAUUAAAAAACAAGGCAAUUUACACACAACCACUGGGGAUUUAAUCAAUGCUGGCUAAUAUCAAAUUCCUGAAUAAGCACACACUACAAGAUUGGAUUGUGGAGAAACCUGCCCAAGCUAACUAAAACCUGCCCCCUGGACUGGACUUCAAUCAGUUACAUAUUACACACUUUGUAGGUAGCACAUUAGGAAUUGAAAAAGCUGCAUGAAAGUGAACUAUAUGAACCACUACACUACCAGUGACUGCAACAGGAUAUCAUUACCAUUCUGACCGGUUUCAAAUUUUGCAAAAUCAUAACUUGGUUAAAAAUCAACCUAUGUACCAAUGGGUCCCUGAAUUUUCCUAAAGCUGUGUAUAUUUUAUUAUUUGUGUAUGAUUUAUCUGUGAAUUUGUUUUAUAUAGAACAGGCGUGUCCAAAGUCCGGCCCGCGGGCCAAAUCCGGCCCCUGGUUAGAUUUUAGCCGACCCGCAGCUUCGAGCUUAUAAUGUAUUAUUUAUGGCCCGCCUGCACUGUCAAACUGAACAUAAAAAAUCAUGAAACUUGAAACUGUAAUUCCCCCUUUUACCAAAAGGUUGCAGCACCAUUUUAAUAAUAUCAGUCUGCAUCCGUGCUGCGAACCCCUUUCCGCUCAUUUCUGCCAUGGCGACUGCAAAGAAAAUGGGGAAAGUUGACAUUGAGGGCCGUCGCUUUGAAGACAGAUGGGAAUUACAAUACUUCUUCACUGAAAAUCAAGGCUAUUGUGUUUGUCUAAUUCGUUAAGAGACUGUUGCCUUGUGUUAUGGUUGAUAGAUUAGUUUGAUCCUAUGAUUAUGUUGAAAUGUGACCUGUAAUAAUUAACCCAGCUUGUCCUGUAGUAGUAGAACAAAGUGCUAAGAUCUGUUGAACUGAUUAACCAGCUGCAGAGGAAGCAAUCAAAGUUGUUCUGUUUACACAAUGUCGUAAAAGACCCCCUGCUAUGCUUUGACCAGAGGCCAGGGGCUUCAACCCCAUCCUGUCCACUCUCACGCCCACUCUCCCCCCCACCCUGUUUCUCUCAAUAAAAAUGCUCUCGCAAGA